UUGUCGGGGUUUCAAACAUCCUUGUCAUUCUUUGGUGCACUUUCCCAAAUGACCGCUGUUAAAGUGUGAACCUUGACAGUGAGCAAUGACAAGCCUUUCGCAUUCAGGAGCACCCCAGCUGAGCCUGAUCUUCCCUUCAUCUGAUGCUCACCUACACUUACCACGAGAGUUCACCAGCAAUUAAUUCUGAGUGGGAGACUCAAUGGACUGAAGGGCCUUUUACCCUGCUGCAGACCUCUAUAACAGUUAUGUGUGUAUGACUCGGAUUUCAGCCUGGUUCCACUCUGCUCACUGUGCCUUUGGCACAUUCUACUGUCCUGGCUGACAUUAGGUAAUGCAACCAGGGAUCAAACCAGGAGUCUUUCUAGUCCCCAUGGGCUAGCUUUGACUGGAGAGCACAUCC